UUAAGCGACUAAGCGUACACGGUGGAUGCCCUGGCAGUCAGAGGCGAUGAAGGACGUGCUAAUCUGCGAAAAGCGUCGGUAAGGUGAUAUGAACCGUUAUAACCGGCGAUGUCCGAAUGGGGAAACCCAGUGCAAUUCGUUGCACUAUCGUUAACUGAAUACAUAGGUUAACGAGGCGAACCGGGGGAACUGAAACAUCUAAGUACCCCGAGGAAAAGAAAUCAACCGAGAUUCCCCCAGUAGCGGCGAGCGAACGGGGAGCAGCCCAGAGUCUGAAUCAGCUUGUGUGUUAGUGGAACGGUCUGGAAAGUCCGACGGUACAGGGUGAUAGUCCCGUACACCAAAAUGCACAGGUUGUGAACUCGAAGAGUAGGGCGGGACACGUGGUAUCCUGUCUGAAUAUGGGGGGACCAUCCUCCAAGGCUAAAUACUCCUGACUGACCGAUAGUGAACCAGUACCGUGAGGGAAAGGCGAAAAGAACCCCGGCGAGGGGAGUGAAAAAGAACCUGAAACCGUGUACGUACAAGCAGUGGGAGCACCUUCGGGUGUGACUGCGUACCUUUUGUAUAAUGGGUCAGCGACUUAUAUUCUGUAGCAAGGUUAACCGUAUAGGGGAGCCGCAGGGAAACCGAGUCUUAACUGGGCGUUAAGUUGCAGGGUAUAGACCCGAAACCCGGUGAUCUAGCCAUGGGCAGGUUGAAGGUUGGGUAACACUAACUGGAGGACCGAACCGACUAAUGUUGAAAAAUUAGCGGAUGACUUGUGGCUGGGGGUGAAAGGCCAAUCAAACCGGGAGAUAGCUGGUUCUCCCCGAAAGCUAUUUAGGUAGCGCCUCGUGAAUUCAUCUUCGGGGGUAGAGCACUGUUUCGGCUAGGGGGUCAUCCCGACUUACCAACCCGAUGCAAACUACGAAUACCGAAGAAUGUUAUCACGGGAGACACACGGCGGGUGCUAACGUCCGUCGUGAAGAGGGAAACAACCCAGACCGCCAGCUAAGGUCCCAAAGUCAUGGUUAAGUGGGAAACGAUGUGGGAAGGCACAGACAGCCAGGAUGUUGGCUUAGAAGCAGCCAUCAUUUAAAGAAAGCGUAAUAGCUCACUGGUCGAGUCGGCCUGCGCGGAAGAUGUAACGGGGCUAAACCAUGCACCGAAGCUGCGGCAGCGACACUAUGUGUUGUUGGGUAGGGGAGCGUUCUGUAAGCCUGCGAAGGUGUGCUGUGAGGCAUGCUGGAGGUAUCAGAAGUGCGAAUGCUGACAUAAGUAACGAUAAAGCGGGUGAAAAGCCCGCUCGCCGGAAGACCAAGGGUUCCUGUCCAACGUUAAUCGGGGCAGGGUGAGUCGACCCCUAAGGCGAGGCCGAAAGGCGUAGUCGAUGGGAAACAGGUUAAUAUUCCUGUACUUGGUGUUACUGCGAAGGGGGGACGGAGAAGGCUAUGUUAGCCGGGCGACGGUUGUCCCGGUUUAAGCAUGUAGGCUGAUUGUCCAGGCAAAUCCGGAUAAUCAAGGCUGAGGUGUGAUGACGAGGCACUACGGUGCUGAAGUAACAAAUGCCCUGCUUCCAGGAAAAGCCUCUAAGCAUCAGGUAACAUCAAAUCGUACCCCAAACCGACACAGGUGGUCAGGUAGAGAAUACCAAGGCGCUUGAGAGAACUCGGGUGAAGGAACUAGGCAAAAUGGUGCCGUAACUUCGGGAGAAGGCACGCUGGUGUGUAGGUGAAGUCCCUGCGGAUGGAGCUGAGACCAGUCGAAGAUACCAGCUGGCUGCAACUGUUUAUUAAAAACACAGCACUGUGCAAACACGAAAGUGGACGUAUACGGUGUGACGCCUGCCCGGUGCCGGAAGGUUAAUUGAUGGGGUUAUCCGUAAGGAGAAGCUCUUGAUCGAAGCCCCGGUAAACGGCGGCCGUAACUAUAACGGUCCUAAGGUAGCGAAAUUCCUUGUCGGGUAAGUUCCGACCUGCACGAAUGGCGUAAUGAUGGCCAGGCUGUCUCCACCCGAGACUCAGUGAAAUUGAACUCGCUGUGAAGAUGCAGUGUACCCGCGGCAAGACGGAAAGACCCCGUGAACCUUUACUAUAGCUUGACACUGAACAUUGAGCCUUGAUGUGUAGGAUAGGUGGGAGGCUUUGAAGCGUGGACGCCAGUCUGCGUGGAGCCAACCUUGAAAUACCACCCUUUAAUGUUUGAUGUUCUAACGUUGGCCCCUGACCGGGGUUGCGGACAGUGUCUGGUGGGUAGUUUGACUGGGGCGGUCUCCUCCCAAAGCGUAACGGAGGAGCACGAAGGUUAGCUAAUCCUGGUCGGACAUCAGGAGGUUAGUGCAAUGGCAUAAGCUAGCUUGACUGCGAGCGUGACGGCGCGAGCAGGUGCGAAAGCAGGUCAUAGUGAUCCGGUGGUUCUGAAUGGAAGGGCCAUCGCUCAACGGAUAAAAGGUACUCCGGGGAUAACAGGCUGAUACCGCCCAAGAGUUCAUAUCGACGGCGGUGUUUGGCACCUCGAUGUCGGCUCAUCACAUCCUGGGGCUGAAGUAGGUCCCAAGGGUAUGGCUGUUCGCCAUUUAAAGUGGUACGCGAGCUGGGUUUAGAACGUCGUGAGACAGUUCGGUCCCUAUCUGCCGUGGGCGCUGGAGAAUUGAGGGGGGCUGCUCCUAGUACGAGAGGACCGGAGUGGACGCAUCACUGGUGUUCGGGUUGUCAUGCCAAUGGCACUGCCCGGUAGCUAAAUGCGGAAGAGAUAAGUGCUGAAAGCAUCUAAGCACGAAACUUGCCCCGAGAUGAGUUCUCCCUGAGACUAUAAGUCUCCUGAAGGAACGUUAAAGACGAUGACGUUGAUAGGCCGGGUGUGUAAGCGCAGCGAUGCGUUGAGCUAACCGGUACUAAUGAACCGUGAGGCUUAACCU
rnacentral:rRNA from 1 species